UGAGGAAUAUUGGUCAAUGGGCGCGAGCCUGAACCAGCCAAGUAGCGUGAAGGAUGAAGGUCCUAUGGAUUGUAAACUUCUUUUAUAGCAGAAUAAAGUGACCCACGUGUGGGUUUUUGUAUGUAUGCUAUGAAUAAGGAUCGGCUAACUCCGUGCCAGCAGCCGCGGUAAUACGGAGGAUCCGAGCGUUAUCCGGAUUUAUUGGGUUUAAAGGGUGCGUAGGCGGAAAGAUAAGUCAGCCUGUGAAAGUUUGCGGCUCAACCGUAAAAUUGCAGUUGAUACUGUUUUUCUUGAGUGUACAUAAGGUAGGCGGAAUUCGUGGUGUAGUGGUGAAAUGCUUAGAUAUCACGAAGAACUCCGACUGCGAAGGCAGCUUACCGGGGUACAACUGACGCUGAUGCACGAAAGUGUGGGUAUCAAACA
rnacentral:rRNA from 1 species